rnacentral:lncRNA from 1 species
GCGGGCCCAAUCCUGCCAUGAUAUGAUCAGGCAUAAUUGCACCCAAAUAUCCGAGCCCGCGUGCGAUCUUCCAGUGAUCUUCACGUUCUCUCUUUUUCAGAUUAGCACCCGCACUCUUCUGAAAUAGAGAUUCCCACUCUCACUUCAUCACAAAAAAAAACUUUUUAACCUCCAAUCCCAUAACAAAAGCUGAAAUUACUAUUUAUUCCCAAAAUUUCUAUUCAUGGCUGAAAUCACUAUUUAUAUGAACAGUGUUCCGUGAAAACACUGUUCAUUUGAACAGUGUUUGAGAUGAAACUGUUCAUAUGAACAGUGUUGGAAAUGUUCUUUUCUGAUCGCUAUUCUUCUUCCUCCCAGCAGCUUCUUUCACCCGUUCCAGCCCCGUCCGAGCUGUCCAGAUCCUGCGUCCGAGGAUCCUGCAGUGCUC